rnacentral:lncRNA from 1 species
AGACAUCACGAAACUCGGGUGACCAGUGGCACAACCCAAGUUCAUGAGACGACCCUCAGCCAAGACAAUGAUUCCGGUCUUGGUCUCUGGGAACACCCACCUGUCAGUCUGAGGCUUGAUGGUGAUACGCUUAACACCAGGGUAAGUCUCCAAUCCAAGCAUGUCAAUCUCAUUGUCAAAGUGACCAAUGUUGCACACAAUAGCGUUGUUCUUCAUCUUCCUCAUGUGGUCAACCAUGAUGAUGUCUUUGUUACCAGUGGUGGUGACAAAGAUAUCAGCUUCUGAGACAACAUCCUCAAGGGUAAGAACCUGAAGUCCUUCCAUCAAAGCUUGAAGGGCACAGAUGGGGUCAAUCUCAGUCACAAUGACUCUAGCACCAGCAGUCUUCAUGGCAGCAGCACAACCCUUUCCAACAUCACCAUAUCCACAGAUAACAGCAACCUUUCCAGCGAUCAUAACAUCAGUGGCCCUCAUGAGACCAUCAGGAAGUGAGUGACGGCAACCAUACAAGUUGUCGAACUGUAAAUCAACAACACAUGAAAUUCUCAGUGACAGCACAUAACAUUAAUCUGUUCUCCACUAAUAAUAAACAAACACAGUGAUGAAUAUAAAAUCAAUUAGAAACACUGAGUUUAAAGUUAACCCUGUAACCAAGUAAAGACAGUUUCCUACUACUUAGUGAUUACGUUGUUGUUUAAACCUAUAAGCAACAAAAACUACAGAUCUAGAGACCUAUCAGCCUCAUCAUCACUAGUAAAGAUCAAUACCUUGCUCUUGGUGACAGAGUCAUUGACGUUAAUGGCAGGGAACAAGAGAGUUCCAUUUUCCUGCAUCUGAUAAAGCCUCUUAACACCAGUAGUAGUUUCCUCAGAGACACCAACAAGUCUCUCCUUCAUCUUAUGGUACUUCUUAGGAUCAACCUGAAGACCUUCCUUGAUAAUAGACAACACGAUCUGAAACUCAGGGUUAUCAGUAGAAGUAGGAUCAGGAACUUGACCAGUCUUCUCAAAAAUCUCCUCAGCUUUAACACCUUCAUGAAUCAAAAGCGUAGCGUCACCACCAUCAUCAACAAUCAGAUCAGGACCACCACCUGGACCCCAAUCAAGAGCACGUUCCGUACACCACCAAUACUCCUGAAGCGUCUCACCUUUCCAGGCGAAAACAGCGGCGGAGUCACGAGCGAUUGCGGCGGCGGCGUGGUCUUGAGUGGAGAAGAUGUUGCAAGAACACCAUCUGACUUCAGCACCGAGAGCAGUUAGGGUUUCGAUGAGUACGGCGGUUUGGAUCGUCAUGUGAAGAGAUCCGGUGAUUCUAGCGCCUUUGAAUGGUUGAGAUGGUCCGAACUCGGUACGACAAGCCAUGAGUCCAGGCAUCUCAACUUCGGCGAGCUCGAGUUCGAGACGACCGAAAUCGGCUUGAGACAUGUCUUUGACCUUGUAUUCACGGCCGCUUGAGGUCUUCUCGACGAGCAACGCCAUUUUUCUAGAUCUGAGAUUUGAAAUCGAAGGAGGCAGAGAGAGAG